rnacentral:lncRNA from 1 species
CCAGGGUGACUCCACCUGAAUGAGGAAGCAGAUUCUGGAGAGUUCAAGAAAGUGCCUGGAAAGGGCCUGAGAGAGAGACUGAAUCUCAUCCUUUUUAAUACAAAGCAAAUAGUGCUGAAAAAGACAAAAAGAGAUGAAAGAAAGGGGAAAAAAAAGGAAGAAAGAAGAAAAAAA